GUGCUCGCUUUGGCAGCACAUAUGCUAAAAUUGGAAUGACAUUAGCAUGGCCCUUGUGCCAGGAUGACACGCAAAUUCGGGAAACGUUCCAUGUUUUU
ensembl:snRNA U6 U6 spliceosomal RNA